rnacentral:rRNA from 1 species
AUUGAACGCUGGCGGCAUGCCUUACACAUGCAAGUCGAACGGCAGCACGGGGCAACCUGGUGGCGAGUGGCGAACGGGUGAGUAAUGCAUCGGAACGUACCUUUCAGUGGGGGAUAACGUAGCGAAAGUUACGCUAAUACCGCAUAUUCUGUGAGCAGGAAAGCAGGGGAUCGCAAGACCUUGCGCUGGUUGAGCGGCCGAUGGCAGAUUAGCUAGUUGGCGAGGUAAAGGCUCACCAAGGCGACGAUCUGUAGCGGGUCUGAGAGGAUGAUCCGCCACACUGGAACUGAGACACGGUCCAGACUCCUACGGGAGGCAGCAGUGGGGAAUUUUGGACAAUGGGGGCAACCCUGAUCCAGCCAUGCCGCGUGAGUGAAGAAGGCCUUCGGGUUGUAAAGCUCUUUCGGCCGGGAAGAAAUCGCACGGGCUAAUACCCUGUGUGGAUGACGGUACCGGAAUAAGAAGCACCGGCUAACUACGUGCCAGCCGCCGCUGUAACAC